CUGACAGCAUUUGAUAAAUUAUCCUGAUAAUUUAAUCUCUAGUAUGUAUGCACUAGAUAUGACGACACGAAACAAUGUCCCGCAUACUGAUUAAUUCAAAGGGAAGUAAUCACCGGGAAAAGAAUGAUGCUCAUUCCAUCACCCCCAGAUUGUAGUGGGGUUCAUGUUGUGUUUUGCAUACUGUUGUCUAUUUCUCUUUUUUGUAGUCAUGAUGUCAACUCAUUUCGACUUAUGAGCUUUAAUGU
rnacentral:lncRNA from 1 species